GUGGGCAUCAUCUAUAAGAAGGGAGGGCUGAAAUCAUCGGUAAUUAAUAAAAUUUUUUGUGCCACAAAAAGAAAGAAAAACAUCGAUGAGGAAGAGUGUUUUGUGCGACAAAAAGAAAGGAGGGGCGUGCUUCAUCUUGGUGCUGAUUUCUUGGCAUAAAGAUCCCAUCUAGGGAGUUCCUCAAGCAUGAGAUCAGAUCUCCUUCCUCUCCUUACUUCCCUCUCAAGGAUUGACGUGCAAGAUCUUCAUUCUUUUUUUCUACAAUACCUAGCAUGCAUGUGAAAUAGAGGAUCUGUGCAUCUAGAUCUC
rnacentral:lncRNA from 1 species